UACGUAGGGUGCGAGCGUUGUCCGGAAUUACUGGGCGUAAAGAGCUCGUAGGCGGCUUGUCGCGUUGUUCGUGAAAAUUUACCGCUCAACGGUGAACUUGCGGGCGAUACGGGCAGGCUAGAGUACUGCAGGGGAGACUGGAAUUCCUGGUGUAGCGGUGAAAUGCGCAGAUAUCAGGAAGGACACCGGUGGCGAAGGCGGGUCUCUGGGCAGUAACUGACGCUGAGGAGCGAAAGCGUGGGGAGCGAACAGG
rnacentral:rRNA from 1 species